CAUCCCAAAGACUCAGCUUCUUUCCAUUUCUCAGCUCAGCUUUGACCUCCCUGUGCUAGACCCUGAAGGCCACCUCAGCGUCUCCGCCUUUCUGUCGGAACCCCACUGUCAAGUCUCCUUGGCUGCAGUUGAGACCCAAGUUCCAUCCUGAGCUCAUGACCCUCAAAACUGACUAUGACUGUGAGCCGUUGGAAAAUAGCUCACAGGACUAACAGGAUAACAAUUCCCACCUAGCCAGGUAAAGCUAGCCGGGUGGCAGGACGCAGCCUGCUGCUCCUAUCACUACACAGCUCUCCUAUUUGGAAAAGGAGAAGCUCUGGUUGACUGCUCAAUCCCAUGCAGCUGUGAUCCCCUGCAGACUCAGUUUCCCAGGGCACCACCACUGAAAGUCUUGCUGGAUCUUCUGAGCCUGGUAGCCAAAGACUGAAGCUCUCCUGGGACCCCUGUCCCCGUGAAAUCAAGAUUACCACAGGGAACCUCAGGCUGCUGUCCUGCUAGCCUGGCCACCUGAUUGCUCGCCGCUUCUUCAUCUCACCUGGCUGCCCAACCCUGUUAUUGGGCAGAGAUAUCAAGGUCAAGUUACAUUUUUUUUUCCUCAAUCAACUCGCUCUGGAAUUUUUCCUCUUCUCCUUGCCUGUGAAGAGCUCCCUAUUCACAUUAAUACUUUGCCCCACCCCCUACCAGACCCCUUGUUAACCCAAAAGUGUGGGACACUUCCUCUCUCUCAGUGGCCUCACACCACUGAUUAAGAUCCUACUCAGGCACCCAGUCCCUACCCUUGUCGCUCUCAAUACCGUAUUCCUGUGAAAACACAGGUGUAAACCUAUCAUAGAGCGUGUUCUUGAUAAAGGUAUCAAGCAUGCUCACCUACCCUAUAACGUUCCUAUCCUGUCCGCACUACAGCCUGACGGUUCUUACCGCCUAGUCCAGGACCUCGGGAUUAUUACAGCAGCUGUAGUCCCUGACUCUUAUACUCCCCUCUCUCAGAUCCCCUCCUCCACCUCUCAUUAUACUGUCCUAGACCUAAGGAUGCUUUCCUCACCGUCCCUUUACACUCAGAAUCACACAAUCUAUUCGCUUUCACCUGGGAGGAUCCUGACAUGCGUACAGCAUCCCAGCUUACUCGGACUGUCCUUCUCCUGAGGUUCUGAGACAGCCCCCACUUUUACUGACCUGGUCUGCUUUGCUAUGUUAAAUAGGAACCUCAGCCAUAUAGGGACUGUGAUAAAGGAGAUCCUAAGACAU